UACGUAGGGCGCAAGCGUUGUCCGGAAUUAUUGGGCGUAAAGAGCUCGUAGGCGGCUUGUCACGUCGGCUGUGAAAGCCCGGGGCUUAACCCCGGGUCUGCAUUCGAUACGGGCUAGCUAGAGUGUGGUAGGGGAGACUGGAAUUCCUGGUGUAGCGGUGAAAUGCGCAGAUAUCAGGAGGAACACCAGCGGCGAAGGCGCUGCUCUGGGCCGGUACUGACGCUGAGGAGCGAAAGCGUGGGGAGCGAACAGG
rnacentral:rRNA from 1 species